rnacentral:rRNA from 1 species
UACAGAGACUGCAAGCGUUACUCGGAAUUACUGGGCGUAAAGCGUGCGUAGGCGGUUCGUUAAGUCUGUCGUGAAAGCCCUGGGCUUAACCUGGGAAUUGCAGUCGAUACUACUCAGCUAGAGUAUGGGAGAGGGCAGUGGAAUUCCCGGUGUAGCGGUGAAAUGCGUAGAUAGUCGGGAGGAACAUCAGUGGCGAAGGCGGCUGCCUGGCCCAAUACUGACACUCAGGUGCGACAGCGUGGGGAGCAAACAGGG